rnacentral:rRNA from 1 species
UACGAAGGGGGCUAGCGUUGCUCGGAAUCACUGGGCGUAAAGGGUGCGUAGGCGGGUCUUUAAGUCAGAGGUGAAAUCCUGGAGCUCAACUCCAGAACUGCCUUUGAUACUGAGGAUCUUGAGUUCGGGAGAGGUGAGUGGAACUGCGAGUGUAGAGGUGAAAUUCGUAGAUAUUCGCAAGAACACCAGUGGCGAAGGCGGCUCACUGGCCCGAUACUGACGCUGAGACGCGAAAGCGUGGGGAGCAAACGGG